rnacentral:SRP_RNA from 1 species
GCCGGGCGAGGUGGCGGGUGUCUGUAGUCCCAGCUACUCGGGAGGCUGAGGCAGGAGAAUGGCGUGAACCUGGAAGGCGGAGCUUGCAGUGAGCCAAGAUCCAGUUACUGCACUCCAGCCUGGGAGACAGUUACUGCACUCCAGCCUGGGAGACUCUGUCUCAAAAAAAAAAAAANNNNNNNNNNUGUCUCCCAGGCUGGAGUGCAGUAACUGUCUCCCAGGCUGGAGUGCAGUAACUGGAUCUUGGCUCACCACAACCUCCGCCUCCUGGGUUCAAGUGAUUCUCCUGCCCU